rnacentral:rRNA from 1 species
CCCUUAGAUGUUCUGGGCCGCACGCGCGCUACACUGAUGCAUUCAACGAGCCUAUCCUUGACCGACAGGUCCGGGUAAUCUUUGAAUCUGCAUCGUGACGGGGAUAGAUUAUUGCAAUUAUUAAUCUUCAACGAGGAAUGCCUAGUAGGCGCAAGUCAUCAGCUUGCGUCGAUUACGUCCCUGCCCUUUGUACACACCGCCCGUCGCUCCUACCGAUUGGGUGUGCUGGUGAAAUGUUCGGAUCGGCCGUUUGUCGCGGUUUCCGCGUCAUGUGGCUGAGAAGUUCAUUAAACCCUCCCACCUAGAGGAAGGAGCAGUCGUAACA